rnacentral:lncRNA from 1 species
UAUUAUUCUGUGUAUGAUUGUAUUAUUAUUGUUUAUUAUUAUGCCUUUUCUUGCUCAGUGUCAGCUGGGAUCUGCUCCAUCCCCCUCUGCCACCCUGUGAAGAAUAAGUGGUAUCGAUUACAGAUGGAUGGAUGAUGCCCUAAUAGACAACUGUGUCAAAAUGGGAUGGAAGAGGCACUAAGGCCCUUUAUGCAAGUAAAGCCUCAACAGCUGCUGAAGUGCAUGUCUGAGCUCCCAGGUGGUUUUGCCAGAAAAGGAACGCUGUACAUGGGCUGAUCUCCCGCCUCCCUUGCUGCUCUGGAUGGGAGAAACAGAAUCUCAUCUGGGAAGUAGAACACCCUCGUUGAAGCCCACCAAGGCCUGUUCCUGGUAACCCAGAGAUGCCUGCUGGCACAGCAUGAAACGCAUAACUCUUGUAUGUGAGUGGAUCUGAGGUUUACAGCUUGGGCUUCUUACCCAAUUAGACUGGAUGAUGGCAGCAAAGCAAAAUGGGGUGAGGUUUUUACAAUGCCAC